rnacentral:rRNA from 1 species
GCUGGUGUUUAUGACGCUGAGGUCCCACCUGUUCCCAUUCCGAACACAGUAGUUAAGCUCAGCGGUGCCGAAGAUACUUGGGUGGUGACGCCCUGGAAAAAUAGGUCGAUGCCAGCU